UAAUUUAAUCCUGCCUCAUUCCCUCCAUCUUCCUUUUAGUCUCCGCUUUCUCUCUCUCUCUCUCUCUCUCUCUCUAUAGCACACAGAUUUUGAGAGAUAGAUACCACUAGAUUAGAUUAUUCAAUCUCGAAUCAUCAUCAUCAUCAUCAUGUAUCGUCCUCCUUCGUCUUCCGGUUCUUCUUCAUCCUCUUCCUCUCAGCAACAGCAGAGCUCCAUCAGCCAACAAACGGGACUUACCAGGUACGAUUCCGCACCCGGUUCUCUCCUCGCCAGCACCGUUGAUGCCAUCAUAGGAGGAGGAUCGAGACUUCUCCCUGGAACGGGAGGAGGAGGAGGAGGAGGACAUCAUUAUUUCUCCGGUGACUCCAACCAACAACAUCAACAACAACAGCAGCAGCAUCAGCUACAGAGAUCUUCUAAUGGUUACGUCGACGGCUUUGAUGGAUCGGCAGCGUUGCUCCGUCAAAAAAGCUCUCCAGCUGGCUUCCUAAACCAUCUAGCCACUCUCAAUCAUAAUAAUAGUGCGGGGUUCACAAUCACAAGGGGGGGAAAUGGAGGCUCAAGGUUGAAGUCUGAGUUGAGUUUCACAGGAGGAGGCGGCAGCGGAGGAGGACAAGAAUGCCUUUCUCGAAUAUCCGAAAAUGUUGUUGACUAUGCAACAGCAUCAGGAAAUGGAUCAUUGCACAAUACUAGUACCUGGGGUGGACCUGAUAAUAACAAUAACAAUAAUUCUAAUUCCAUAGUAUUUUCUUCUUCUGCUCCCCAAACUAACAAUACUAAUAAGCGUUCUAGUAGAACUGACAACGACGACCCCGAUCUUCUUCUACAUUGCCUCACUGCCCUCGAAACUCAGUAUAGUCUCCCACAAACUUCUUUGGAAAUGGACAAGCUUAUGCAUAAUAUUCCCCAAGAUUCCGUCCCUUGUAAAAUCCGUGCCAAGCGUGGCUGUGCCACUCAUCCUCGUAGCAUUGCUGAACGGGAGAGGAGAACUAGAAUAAGUGGCAAGUUGAAGAAAUUGCAGGACCUUGUUCCUAAUAUGGAUAAGACCCAGAUUAUUAAGUUGAUCCCGCCUAGCUAGCGACCGGUCCUUAUUUGAACUACUAAUCGCUAAAGCAUCAACUCAAGUUGACCUUCCAAAUAAAUAAUGAGGUGUCAGUAAGGUGAAAUUUAGAAAAGUCAAGUUUCACGAUCUCAAGGCUUGCUUUUUACAAUGAAAUACAAAAUUUUCAGUCAAACAAGUUAUUCUGACAUGCUGGAUUUGGCCGUUCAACACAUCAAAGGUCUUCAAACUCAAGUUCAGAAGCUUCACGAAGAUCUUGAGAAUUGCACUUGCGGAUGCAAACAAAGUACAUAAACUUAUUAUGUUUUAUGAGAUUCUAUGGCACUGUGCAUAGAAAUCAAGGUUUUGAUGGAAACUGAUUUUUGUACCUUCCGACUUUAAAACGAAUAAUGAAGGAAAUUGUACAUUUACGUUGUAAUCUACCUGUGGUAAACAUAGUCUAGAAAAAUCUAUUCCUUUUCAACAUUUGAUAGUUGUACUUGAAUUUGAAAGUAGAGGUUGAUUUUCUGUUGAAUUGGUUUGUUUCUUGUUUGGGUACGUGUGUGUUGUGAUUUGUGAAUGAAUGAUAACUUUAACUUAUUCUUUU